UAUUAAUUUACUUUACUCCACUUUCAUAUUAGGCUAAUAUUUCUUUCUUUUUCUUUUUUUUUUACAGGGUGAGCCGCAGCACCAGUUUUGCCUUUAAACUGGAAAUACAAUGGAAAUUCGCGUUCACUUGACUAACCCCCACUGUAAGACUCUGUUAUUAGCCCAACUGAAAUAAAGUUUAAAGCUAAUUCAAGAAUGCAAGUCAUUUUUCUUUUUGCAUUCCAUCACAGAUUUUGGAGGAAUCUAAUGACAGAUCAUAUCCACGCUUAAUGCCAUUUAGCAAUCUGGCAAUUUGAUUUCCCUGCCAGACCAGUUGUUGUUUAUCUGUCAGUGAGAUAACACAGAUUUAGUCAGAUUUGGGUAAGGAAAGGAAAAAGUUAGGUCGUGUUGUUGUUUUAUUUUUCUCUAAUAUCACAUUCGUUUGCUUCCUCCGUUAUAUGAAACUUCAGUGAAGCAACUCCAAGUACCACUUGAAUUGGUCGCUUUGGAAAGCUUCUUGGACUGGAAAUAACCUGUAUUGAAAUGCUGACCGCAUAUUCCUGCUCUAAUCCACUCGCCCGGUCGGCAUUUCGAAGAGGGCCCCUGCAUGCAGAAUAUCCUGAAAGGCUAGCGUCUCCAGAACCAGAUGCUUAAUGUCUUUCUUUCAUGUGUCGUCCCAGCAUGACCCACUGGACUUAGCAGAGCCGAGAAUAAGGUAAAGAAUUUUCAAUUCAUCUCAUUUAGCUCUCUAUUUAAACAUGGUUUUUAUCAUAUCAUUAAAAAGCGUUCCCCAGUCUUUCCUAACGUUGACAUGCGCACGGUUAUUUGUGCACCGCUAAAACCUACAGCGGUGUGAGCGAGCAGUUAGGAGAAGAAUUUCAGGAGCGUGUAUCUCCUUCAACUGGUUCAGGUUCUAGUUUAAACCUCUUUUUUUUGUAGAUUUUUGUAGGUCAUUGCAUGUUUGAUCUGGACGGAAACUGUUACGUGCACACAGCAAUAGUGGAAACAGUCAUCCGUUUUCUGCUCGGCGGAAUCGCGGAGAAGCGCGUGAUCUAUAAGACCUGCGAAAUUCGUGAUGCUGUUUUCAGACUAUUGUUGCAAGUUUUCUUUCGCGGAUCUUCCUAAAUGGACGCUGGUGACGGUGGUCUGUCUCACGUGCCCGAGUAUGAACAUCAUCUUUGCAUCUCCUUCCGCCGCGGAUACGCUGCAUGCGCUCCACUACAAAAAAAAAUCCGGAAAGGGCAAACGCAGCUUGCAGCUUUGUGGGGCCGUCGGGAUGGGGCGCAACUGCCCCCUUUUUAUUUGCUUAGUUGAAAGCUUUCAACUUCCUCUGUUUUGCAUCGCCCAGGACCUUUGCAUAGCCGUAACCUACAGACGUGAUGUGGGGUUUUUGACAAUCCGCUGAGGCACCAUGCACUAAUGUCAAUGCCAGCUCUUGGUGCAGGCGGUGUAAUCAUCACUGUUCAAGCUCAAACCACAAUGAAUGAAUAUGCUGCGUGGACUGAGCUCGUUAUGUACGGGUGAGUAACUCCUGUCGGAUGGGAUAUAUGUCUGCUGUAGAGCUGGACUAGAGGAAUCGAUAGAGAGCGUCUGGAGAACUCCGGUACAGGCGCGGAGUCGCAUCGGCCUGACAGCUACAAGCGGAGUAACGCCAGUGAACCUCAACAGGUAGAGCUGUUCCCAAAACUCAUUACCUGUUAGGAAAAGUAUGCACAAACGUCGCCCGCAUUUAAUUUGACCAGCUUUCCAUAAUGACAUACAAAACAACAUUUAAUGUAUAACCUGUAACCUACCUACUGAAAGAAAAUGCAAUUCAGAGAGAGAGAGAGAGAGAGAGAGAGAGAGAGAGAGAGAGAGAGAGAGAAAUGAUUUACUGUGUAUAAAACGAAAAACAAUAAGCUGGAUAUUAUGUAGACGUAGCUGGCCGUGCACAUAAAUUAAUGUUUUGUUUUUUUCCGUUUCUCAUAUAACCUUUAAACAGACGUUUGUAUGGUCCAUACUUCAAUGGGCUAUUUUAAGAUACAGUGUAUAUCCCUGGUAUUCAAUGAAACUCGUUAUGGUCAGCAUCUAGCUUAUGUUAAAUUCAAGAUAUUAGACUGCGAUGUGCUUGUUUUGCAUUGUAUUUUUUUUUAACGUAAAAAAAUGCUAAGUUGUUUUUAGUAGCCUAUGUUGUGUACAAAUGGAAUAUGAUUUUAUUUUUAGGUUGACAGUUCUAUGGGUGGUCUAUAUGUCUCUGUUUUAUUUGUUAGGGCUCUAGAUGUAAAGCCAUAUCGGGAUUUCUGUGAAGCGACUUUAUUGUGAAAAUGCCCAAUUGGUAAAAGCGCUUUAUGAAAAAAAUAUAAUUGAAUCGAAUUGAAAUUGUUUGUAACCUAGACCGUCUGUUCGGCCUUGUGUAGAUUUUUUGCCUCCAAAAAGCAUCGCUGCCAAAGAUUGUUAACUGUUAGAGCAAGCUUUGACCAUUCUCAUUCUGAAACUGGGCCCCAAGACUCAAAUUACUGAACCAAAUUUGCACUUAACUUUGUUGAAAUUGGAACUUAUCAUCAAAUGCUAAAAACAUAAAUAGCAAGUAUCUUAUGUCUUUUGAGCUUACACAUUUUUUCGUUCUUUCGUUUCUUUCUUUCUUUCUUUCUUUCUUUCUUAUACACUUAAAAAAAUAGAGAAGGAAAGUGAGUAAAGGCAGUCUCUACAAAGUUUUGGUAAGCUCACAAAACAAAAGCUCAUUUAUACUAAUGAACUUCUUUACGCAGUUUUCUGAUAGUUACCUGGCAAAUAAAUCUCUAUCCUGGCUCAACACGAUUUAAUUAUCAUUAGUAUUUUCAUAUAAUUAAACGAUUAAUGAACAGACGCUGUUUGACAAUUAUUACAAUCGGUUACAGGAAAUUUAUCUUAUAGGUAUCUUAUAGGUUAAAUGUAUCUAGCCUAACAGGAACUAGAAUCACUAAUAUGAUGAACUGGUAUAUUUGGACAGUAUUUGACUAUGACGCACUUAAGAUAAGUUGAAAUAAAAUUUAACCCAGGUUAAACAAAUUUGAUACCCAAGGUCUCUCUCUCUCUCUCUCUCUCUCUCUCUCUCUCUCUCUCUCUCUCUCUCUCUCUCCUUUACUUAUAGUAGAGGCCUAUAAGUGGAAGUUCAAAAUUACCUUCGGCUUAAUCAGGCAAAUUCUGCAUAGUCAAUGUAGCAAAUUUCCAUAUUUUAAAUCGUUAAUGUCCAAAGUAGGCUAGUGCUUAUACUCCGUACCUUCGUCAUUAAGUGACUCACCAUUUCAUUACAUGAUCGCGUCACAUACUGCAUAGUGCCCUACGAAAUAAUGUACUUGAGUUCAGGUAAACCCCAUCUAACCCCACCCCUUUCAUGUACUUGAAUUGGCUAAAGUUGAGUCACACACUUGUGAGUGGCAGGGAAAACUAUUAAACAAGCUGAAUUUUAAAAAAUACAUAUAAAAAUAUAUUUUACUAUUUAAAAAAAGGAAAGUUUUUUCAGGACAGUGGUUAAACAACUGGACUAACAACAAGACAGGAAGAAAACGGACAAAAUUUUGUAGUGUAUGGUCUGAGGCCCAGCCUGUGUGUGAUGCCCUGGUGCAUUUGUCUGCUAAUAAGUCACACAGAGGUAAUGGGAAGUUAUUGGGAGCUCGUCUUAAGUUCAUGGUUCAUGGCGAGGUUAAAGAGACUGUUGAUACUAUUGCUUGCUUUCGACGUUAAGUCCUCUUCCUUCCUAAAAGAGGAUGUGCCCUAGUCACCGUGCACUCAUGUUUGUUUUCAUAGGUUUAUGUCAUCAACUCAAACAGGAACACACAAUAACAUCACAACGUCAUAGUUUUUCUCUCUUCUUUUUUGUAAAACCACACAAGGCCUGUCCUCGAACUUUAGUCAAGUCCUUUGUCUUUGUCUAUUUUUAGCACCCUAACCCAGAAUAUGCAGCGUUUGAGAACUGACUACUUUCAUUCAUAGGGAAAACCUCUACAGCACAUAAUAAUUAUAUGUAGAUUUUGACUGGGAAUGGGUUUGUUAAUUCUGACAUUUCUGAUCACCUGUAACAUACCACGCCAAAAUUUUAAUGUCUUGCAUAAUGAUAUGUGUAAUAGAUGAUAUGACCAGCUGC